rnacentral:rRNA from 1 species
UUAGGGGAGGCAGCAGAGGGGAAUAUUGGACAAUGGGAAAAAGCGAGAUCCACCCAUGCCGCGUAAAUGAAGAAGGCCCUAGGGGUGUAAAAUCCUUUCACCAGGGAAGAUAAUGACGGUACCUGCACAAGAAGCCCCGGCUAACUCCGUGCCAGCAGCCGCGGUAAUACGGAGGGGGCGAGCGUUGUUCUGAAUUACUGGGCGUAAAGCGCGCGUAGGCGGCUUUUUAAGAGGGGGGUGAAAUCCCGGAGCUCAACCCCGGAACUGCCUUCUAAACUGCAAAUCUAGAGUGUGAGAGAGAUGAGGGGAAUUCCGAGUGUAGAGGUGAAAUUUGUAGAUAUUAGGAAAAACACCAGUGGGGAGGGGGGCUCACUGGCACAUUUCACACGCAGAGGUGAAAAAGCGUGGGGAGCAAACAGGAUUAGAUACCCGGGUAGCCCACCCCGUAAACGAUGAGAGCUAUGUGGGGGGGAGCAACCUGUUCGGUGCCGCAGCUAACGCAUUAAGCAUCCGCC